rnacentral:rRNA from 2 species
CCAUGCGNCNCAUUGUAGCAAUACAAGGCAGACGGCUCAGUAACGCGUAGUCAACCUACCCUAUGGACGGGAAUAACCUCGGGAAACUGAGUAUAAUGCCCGAUAGAACACUAUACCUGGAAUGGUUUGUGUUCCAAAUGAUUUAUCGCCAUAGGAUGGGACUGCGGCCUAUCAGUUUGUUGGUGAGGUAAUGGCCCACCAAGACUAUUACAGGUACGGGCUCUGAGAGGAGUGGCCCGGAGAUGGGUACUGAGACACGGACCCAGGCCCUAUGGGGCGCAGCAGGCGAGAAAACUUUGCAAUGUGCGAAAGCACGACAAGGUUAAUCCGAGUGGUUUCUGCUAAAGGAACCUUUUGUUAGUCCUAGAAACACUGAUGAAUAAGGGGUGGGCAAGUUCUGGUGUCAGCCGCCGCGGUAAAACCAGCACCUCAAGUGGUCAGGAUGAUUAUUGGGCCUAAAGCAUCCGUAGCCGGCUCUGUUAGUUUUCGGUUAAUCUGUACGCUUACGUACAGGCUGCCGGGAAUACUGCAAANCUAGGGAGUGGGAGAGGUANACGGUACUCGGU